UGCCUAAUACAUGCAAGUCGAGCGGACAGAUGGGAGCUUGCUCCCUGAUGUUAGCGGCGGACGGGUGAGUAACACGUGGGUAACCUGCCUGUAAGACUGGGAUAACUCCGGGAAACCGGGGCUAAUACCGGAUGCUUGUUUGAACCGCAUGGUUCAGACAUAAAAGGUGGCUUCGGCUACCACUUACAGAUGGACCCGCGGCGCAUUAGCUAGUUGGUGAGGUAACGGCUCACCAAGGCGACGAUGCGUAGCCGACCUGAGAGGGUGAUCGGCCACACUGGGACUGAGACACGGCCCAGACUCCUACGGGAGGCAGCAGUAGGGAAUCUUCCGCAAUGGACGAAAGUCUGACGGAGCAACGCCGCGUGAGUGAUGAAGGUUUUCGGAUCGUAAAGCUCUGUUGUUAGGGAAGAACAAGUGCCGUUCAAAUAGGGCGGCACCUUGACGGUACCUAACCAGAAAGCCACGGCUAACUACGUGCCAGCAGCCGCGGUAAUACGUAGGUGGCAAGCGUUGUCCGGAAUUAUUGGGCGUAAAGGGCUCGCAGGCGGUUUCUUAAGUCUGAUGUGAAAGCCCCCGGCUCAACCGGGGAGGGUCAUUGGAAACUGGGGAACUUGAGUGCAGAAGAGGAGAGUGGAAUUCCACGUGUAGCGGUGAAAUGCGUAGAGAUGUGGAGGAACACCAGUGGCGAAGGCGACUCUCUGGUCUGUAACUGACGCUGAGGAGCGAAAGCGUGGGGAGCGAACAGGAUUAGAUACCCUGGUAGUCCACGCCGUAAACGAUGAGUGCUAAGUGUUAGGGGGUUUCCGCCCCUUAGUGCUGCAGCUAACGCAUUAAGCACUCCGCCUGGGGAGUACGGUCGCAAGACUGAAACUCAAAGGAAUUGACGGGGGCCCGCACAAGCGGUGGAGCAUGUGGUU
rnacentral:rRNA from 1 species